rnacentral:rRNA from 1 species
GACGAACGCUGGCGGCGUGCUUAACACAUGCAAGUCGAACGGAAAGGCCCUGCUUUUGUGGGGUGCUCGAGUGGCGAACGGGUGAGUAACACGUGAGUAACCUGCCCUUGACUUUGGGAUAACUUCAGGAAACUGGGGCUAAUACCGGAUAGGAGCUCCUGCUGCAUGGUGGGGGUUGGAAAGUUUCGGCGGUUGGGGAUGGACUCGCGGCUUAUCAGCUUGUUGGUGGGGUAGUGGCUUACCAAGGCUUUGACGGGUAGCCGGCCUGAGAGGGUGACCGGCCACAUUGGGACUGAGAUACGGCCCAGACGCCUACGGGAGGCAGCAGUGGGGAAUAUUGCACAAUGGGCGGAAGCCUGAUGCAGCAGCGCCGCGUGCGGGAUGACGGCCUUCGGGUUAUAAACCGCUUUCGCCUGUGACGAAGCGUGAGUGACGGUAAUGGGUAAAGAAGCACCGGCUAACUACGUG